rnacentral:rRNA from 1 species
AUUGAACGCUGGCGGCAGGCCUAACACAUGCAAGUCGAGCGGAUGAAGGGAGCUUGCUCCUGGAUUCAGCGGCGGACGGGUGAGUAAUGCCUAGGAAUCUGCCUGGUAGUGGGGGAUAACGUCCGGAAACGGGCGCUAAUACCGCAUACGUCCUGAGGGAGAAAGUGGGGGAUCUUCGGACCUCACGCUAUCAGAUGAGCCUAGGUCGGAUUAGCUAGUUGGUGGGGUAAAGGCCUACCAAGGCGACGAUCCGUAACUGGUCUGAGAGGAUGAUCAGUCACCCUGAAACUGAGACCCGGUCCAGACCCCAAGGGGGGGCACGAGUGGGAAAUUUUGGCAAAGGGGCGAAACCCUAACCCGGCCAGGCGGGGGGGGGAAAGAAGGUCUGCGAUUUUUAAACCCUUUUAAGUUGGGAGGAAGGGCGGUAAGUUAAUCCCUUGCUUUUUUACCGUUACCAACAAAAAAAGCACCGCCUACCUCCGU